rnacentral:tRNA from 1 species
UGGCCUAGUGGUUAAGGCUACGGAUCGCCAAUCCGGAGACGGCGGGUUCGAUUCCCGU